rnacentral:rRNA from 1 species
GACGAACGCUGGCGGCGUGCUUAACACAUGCAAGUCGAACGGAAAGGCCCUGCUUUUGUGGGGUGCUCGAGUGGCGAACGGGUGAGUAACACGUGAGUAACCUGCCCUUGACUUUGGGAUAACUUCAGGAAACUGGGGCUAAUACCGGAUAGGAGCUCCUGCUGCAUGGUGGGGGUUGGAAAGUUUCGGCGGUUGGGGAUGGACUCGCGGCUUAUCAGCUUGUUGGUGGGGUAGUGGCUUACCAAGGCUUUGACGGGUAGCCGGCCUGAGAGGGUGACCGGCCACAUUGGGACUGAGAUACGGCCCAGACUCCCACGGGAGGCAGCAGUGGGGAAUAUUGCACAAUGGGCGGAAGCCUGAUGCAGCAACGCCGCGUGCGGGAUGACGGCCUUUGGGUUGUAAACCGCUUUCGCCUGUGACGAAGCGUGAGUGACGGUAAUGGGUAAAGAAGCACCGGCUAACUACGUG